rnacentral:rRNA from 1 species
GAUGAACGCUGGCGGCGUGCCUAAUACAUGCAAGUCGAGCGAACAGACGAGGAGCUUGCUCCUCUGACGUUAGCGGCGGACGGGUGAGUAACACGUGGAUAACCUACCUAUAAGACUGGGAUAACUUCGGGAAACCGGAGCUAAUACCGGAUAAUAUAUUGAACCGCAUGGUUCAAUAGUGAAAGACGGUUUUGCUGUCACUGAUAGAUGGAUCCGCGCCGCAUUAGCUAGUUGGUAAGGUAACGGCUUACCAAGGCAACGAUGCGUAGCCGACCUGAGAGGGUGAUAGGCCACACGGGAACUGAGACACGGUCCAGACUCCUACGGGAGGCAGCAGUAGGGAAUCUUCCGCAAUGGGCGAAAGCCUGACGGAGCAACGCCGCGUGAGUGAUGAAGGUCUUCGGAUCGUAAAACUCUGUUAUUAGGGAAGAACAAAUGUGUAAGUAACUAUGCACGUCUUGACGGUACCUAAUCAGAAAGCCACGGCUAACUACGUG